rnacentral:snRNA from 1 species
AAGAGACACCAUGAUCAGAAAGUGGUUUUCUCAGGGUGGACUCAUAUCUUGCACUGCAGGUGUGCUGAUUCUUGUAAUAUCACCCUCAGUGUGGGUAGCUUGA